CCAGGUGCUUUCAUGACAUAACAGACAAGAAAUAACAUUACGUUGGUUACAUGCUGGUCACAGUAAGGUAUUAGAAUAUGUUGAGGAGUUAGCACCAUUUUAUUUUAUAACAGAGAAAAGAUCACAUACAAGCUGUAAAUGCCACAAUAUUAAUGAUAAGUAGAUUAGAAGUAUGGUGUAUGGCAUAACAAGAGGUAUAUCAUAAGGGUAUAGAUAGAACUUUACCAAGGUAGAUGUAACAUGUAACAAGAACUUUAACUGUUGAUCAGAACAUUGGGCAAAACCCUUAUGGCAACAUGUCAUAAAUUCUGCCUUUUUAAUGCAAAACUAAAGUUAGCCAGAGCAUACACAUUGUUGGGAAGGAAGGGAGUUAAUGGUGAGGGUUGUAUGCAGAGGCGUAACUAGAAUCCACCAAAAAUUGCCCCCCUCCCAUGUGUCUCAUCCGAUGCCCUCCCCCUCCCCCCCCCCGGUGUCUCAUUCGCUCCCACCUCCCCAUGUCUCAUUCCUCCACCCAGUUGUCUCAUUCCCCCCCGGUGUCUCAUUCCCAGCCCCCCCACCCCGUGUCUCAUUUCUUUGACCCCAUAGCCCCUCCAUGUGUUCAAUUCUUUCUCCCCUAAGCCCCUUCAUUUUUCCCAUACCUUCCUCCCUCCCAGCCCCUCCAUAUGUCCAAUUUCUCCCUCUCCCCCUCCCUGUGUCCCAUUUCUCCCUAUCUACCGUUCCCAUCCAUGUGUCCCAUACCCUCCCUCUCUUCCCUCCCAUUCUUCCCUCUCUCCCCUUCCCUUCCAUGUGUACCAUACCCUCUCUUUACCCCCUCCCCUCCAUGUGUCCUAUACCCAUCCUCUCUCCCCCUCCUCUUCAUUUGUCCCAUAUCCUCCCUCUCUCCUCUUCAUUUGUCCUAUACCCACCAUCUCUCCCUCCUUCCCUUAAUUUGUCCCAUACACUCCCUCUCUCCCCUUCAUUUGUCCCAUACCCUCCCCCCUCCAUGUGUCCCAUACCCUCCCUCCCUGCCAUUCAUUAGUCCCAUACCCACCCUCUCUCCCCCCUCCCAUCUAUGUUUCCCAUACCCACCCUCUCUCCACCCUCCCCUCCAUGUGUCCCAUACCCUCCCUUUCUCCCCCUCCCUUUCAUGUGUCCCAUAUGCUCCCUCUCUACCCCCUACCCUCCAUGUGUGCCCUACCCUCCCUCUCUCCCUCUCCCCCUCAUGUGUCUCAUACUCUCCCUCUCUACCCCCUCCCCUUCAUGUGUCCCAUUCUUCCCUCUCUCCCUCUCACUUCCAUAUUUCCCAUAUCCUCUCUCCCUCCUCCCCUCCAUGUGUUCCAUACCCUCCCUCUAUCCCCUCCCCUCCAUAUGUCCCAUUCUUCCCUCUCUCCCUCUCACUUCCAUAUGUCCCAUAUCCUCUCUCCCUCCUCCCCUCCCUUCCAUGUGUCCCAUACCCUCCCUCUAUCCCCUCCCCUCCAUGUGUCCCAUUCCUACCUCUCUCCCCCUCCCUUCCAUGUGUCCAUACCCUCCCUCUCUCCCCCCUCCUGUGCCUGCUUCUCUGCCGUGGUUCCUGGUCUGAUAAGAAGUGCUCUAACCGCUCCUCCUGCCAGACCCCCGGGAACUGCCGACCUGGGCCGGUGUGCUGUGCACCACCCAGAAGGUAUUCAAGUGGCCCGUGCAACCGUGGUAGGUACGCCACUGGUUGUAUGUCAUAGAGAAUCAUAGGCAUGGGGCAAACCCUACCCAGUUCAUGAUUUACUAUAAUAAAACAUUUAGUGAGGCUGCUGACUGUAAAAAAAACCAACCCUUUAAAGGCUGCUGUUUGAACACUGUUUCAAUGUAUGGUGUCUCUCAGUCCCACAUGUUACUCGGACUCACUGACCCAGUAUUUUAUCCAAUUAUUUUAUAGCCAGCCCUUAAUGUGGAAGAAAACAUUCCCAGCUGUUGACAUGUUGCUUCCUUUCUCCGAACAAAUGAAACUCUGAACUCAUGGAUUCCUCUGAGCUUCUCUUUCUGUUUUGGCAGGAUUCAAAAUCCCUAGAAGUAAAAGGCGUAAUGAAAAGAUCUGGAAACUCGUUUGUUAACAGAAACACCGUACACAAUGAUCAUUGCUGAGAAAGCCAUGUGUAAAGGCUGUUUUCUUGGACAGAAUCUACUCUGACCUCAGUGUUCAAAACAGCUGCCCAACAAGAAACAAUUCUUAGAAGACAGAGGUGUAUAGUGCUGUAUUCUGCCAAAAACAUGCACAACUGGUACGAUUAGUAUGGGUUGAUGUUUGAAAAAGCAGCAAGUCAUGUCAGGGAAUAAUAUACUUUUCCUCCAGAAGAAUGUAUAGGGUAUGGUGAAAAUAUGCAAACUAUGACAAGACGCUACUCACAAACCUCUGUCUGCUCCUUCAUAAUUUGUGUCUCCAGAUGGCUCAAUGUUCAUCUCAGGCAUAGCUAUCACUGCAGGACCAUCGUCAAGGUCCUUUCAUAAAUAAAGCUAUAUUUAACCUUCACGGUGGCUACAAGGAGGAAUGAGAAUCUCUUGGAAUCCUGUGUGAAUGGGAGCUAGUAAGCAGCUAUUUGACAUAUCGUAACCAAACAAUAUCCAUCACAUACACCCCUAAGUACAGAGCCCCUCUAUUAUGUAUUGUUCUGAAGAAUUCCGAUUUUAUUGUACACAUGGAAGAUUUCACAGAAAGUUUAUUUUUUUUCUUUCAUUUUUUACUGCCUGUCGUGACCCAUCAGGUGUGUGUGGACCAUGACAAUU